GAUGAACGCUGGCGGCGUGCUUAACACAUGCAAGUCGAACGAUGAAGCCCAGCUUGCUGGGUGGAUUAGUGGCGAACGGGUGAGUAACACGUGAGUAACCUGCCCUUAACUCUGGGAUAAGCCUGGGAAACUGGGUCUAAUACCGUAUAGGAGCGUCCACCGCAUGGUGGGUGUUGGAAAGAUUUAUCGGUUUUGGAUGGACUCGCGGCCUAUCAGCUUGUUGGUGAGGUAAUGGCUCACCAAGGCGACGACGGGUAGCCGGCCUGAGAGGGUGACCGGCCACACUGGGACUGAGAGACGGCCCAGAGUCCUACGGGAGGCAGCAGUGGGGAAUAUUGCACAAUGGGCGCAAGCCUGAUGCAGCGACGCCGCGUGAGGGAUGAAGGCCUUCGGGUUGUAAACCUCUUUCAGUAGGGAAGAAGCGAAAGUGACGGUACCUGCAGAAGAAGCACCGGCUAACUACGUG
rnacentral:rRNA from 1 species